rnacentral:rRNA from 1 species
AUUGAACGCUGGCGGCAGGCCUAACACAUGCAAGUCGAACGAGUGGCGGAAGGGUGCGAAAUGUCUGUCAAACCGCCCCCUGUAGGGGGGUAACUACGGGAAAAAGAAGCUAAUACCGCAUACCCUCGGAUGUGCCCCGAUGUGAUUAGCUAGUAGGUGGGGUAAAGGCUCACCUUGGCACCGAGCCCUAGCGGGUCGUAGAGGAUGAGCAGCCACACUGGAACUGAGACACGGCCCAGACUCCUACGGGAGGCAGCAUUGGGGAAUAUUGCACAAUGGGGGCAAGCCUGAUGCAGCCAUGCCGCGUGUAUGAGGAAGGCCUUCGGGUUGUAAAGUACUUUCAGCGGGGAGGCGGUACUCGCAGAAGAAGCACCGGCUAACUACGUGCCAGCAGCCGCGGUAAUUC